rnacentral:rRNA from 1 species
GACGAACGCUGGCGGCGUGCUUAACACAUGCAAGUCGAACGAAGAGCGAUGGAAGCUUGCUUCUAUCACUCUUAGUGGCGAACGGGUGAGUAACGCGUAAUCAACCUGCCCUUCAGAGGGGGACAACAGUUGGAAACGACUGCUAAUACCGCAUACGAUCUAACCUCGGCAUCGAGGAUAGAUGAAAGGUGGCCUCUACAUGUAAGCUAUCACUGAAGGAGGGGAUUGCGUCUGAUUAGCUAGUUGGAGGGGUAACGGCCCACCAAGGCGAUGAUCAGUAGCCGGUCUGAGAGGAUGAACGGCCACAUUGGGACUGAGACACGGCCCAGACCCCUACGGGAGGCAGCAGUGGGGAAUCUUCCGCAAUGGACGAAAGUCUGACGGAGCAACGCCGCGGGAGUGAUGACGGCCUUCGGGUUGUAAAGCUCUGUUAAUCGGGACGAAAGGCCUUCUUGCGAAUAGUGAGAAGGAUUGACGGUACCGGAAGAGAAAGCCACGGCUAACUACGUG